rnacentral:tRNA from 1 species
GCCCUCAUAGUUCAAUGGAUAGAACGAGGGUUUCCUAAACCCUAAAUCCAGGUUCGACUCCCGGUGAGGGCA